CCAAAAGUAACUUCGUGGAGGGUAGG
rnacentral:piRNA from 1 species